rnacentral:rRNA from 1 species
UCGAUGAAGAACGCAGCCAACUGCGAUAUGUAGUGUGAACUGCAGAAACCUUGAACACAGAACUUUCGAAUGCACAUUGCGCCA